rnacentral:rRNA from 1 species
UGGGGAAUAUUGGACAAUGGGCGCAAGCCUGAUCCAGCCAUGCCGCGUGAGUGAUGAAGGCCCUAGGGUUGUAAAGCUCUUUCACCGGUGAAGAUAAUGACGGUAACCGGAGAAGAAGCCCCGGCAAACUUCGUGCCAGCAGCCGCGGUAAUACGAAGGGGGCUAGCGUUGUUCGGAUUUACUGGGCGUAAAGCGCACGUAGGCGGACUAUUAAGUCAGGGGUGAAAUCCCGGGGCUCAACCCCGGAACUGCCUUUGAUACUGGUAGUCUUGAGUUCGAGGGAGGUGAGUGGAAUUCCGGGUGUAGAGGUGAAAUUCGUAGAUAUUCGGAGGAACACCAGUGGCGAAGGCGGCUCACUGGCUCGAUACUGACGCUGAGGUGCGAAAGCGUGGGGAGCAAACAGG